UGGCGGCAGGCUUAACACAUGCAAGUCGAGCGCCCCGCAAGGGGAGCGGCAGACGGGUGAGUAACGCGUGGGAAUCUACCGAGCCCUGCGGAAUAGCUCCGGGAAACUGGAAUUAAUACCGCAUACGCCCUACGGGGGAAAGAUUUAUCGGGGUUUGAUGAGCCCGCGUUGGAUUAGCUAGUUGGUGGGGUAAAGGCCUACCAAGGCGACGAUCCAUAGCUGGUCUGAGAGGAUGAUCAGCCACAUUGGGACUGAGACACGGCCCAAACUCCUACGGGAGGCAGCAGUGGGGAAUAUUGGACAAUGGGCGCAAGCCUGAUCCAGCCAUGCCGCGUGAGUGAUGAAGGCCCUAGGGUUGUAAAGCUCUUUCAACGGUGAAGAUAAUGACGGUAACCGUAGAAGAAGCCCCGGCUAACUUCGUGCCAGCAGCCGCGGUAAUACGAAGGGGGCUAGCGUUGUUCGGAAUUACUGGGCGUAAAGCGCACGUAGGCGGAUAUUU
rnacentral:rRNA from 1 species